rnacentral:rRNA from 1 species
CAAGUCGAACGCGUCUUGGUUAUUGAUGUUAGAUGCUUGCAUUUAACUGAUUUAACAUUGAGACGAGUGGCGAACUGGUGAGUAACACGUGGGUAACCUGCCCUUGAAGUAGGGGAUAACACUUGGAAACAGGUGCUAAUACCGUAUAACAACCAAAACCACCUGGUUUUGGUUUAAAAGAUGGCUUCGGCUAUCACUUUAGGAUGGACCCGCGGCGUAUUAGCUUGUUGGUAAGGUAACGGCCUACCAAGGCAACGAUACGUAGCCGAACUGAGAGGUUGAUCGGCCACAUUGGGACUGAGACACGGCCCAAACUCCUACGGGAGGCAGCAGUAGGGAAUCUUCCACAAUGGACGCAAGUCUGAUGGAGCAACGCCGCGUGAGUGAAGAAGGCUUUCGGGUCGUAAAACUCUGUUGUUGGAGAAGAAUGGUCGGCAGAGUAACUGUUGUCGGCGUGACGGUAUCCAACCAGAAAGCCACGGCUAACUACGUGCCAGCAGCCGCGGUAAUACGUAGGUGGCAAGCGUUAUCCGGAUUUAUUGGGCGUAAAGCGAGCGCACGCGGUUUUUUAAGUCUGAUGUGAAAGCCCUCGGCUUAACCGAGGAAGCGCAUCGCAAACUGGGAAACUUGAGUGCAGAAGAGGACAGUGGAACUCCAUGUGUAGCGGUGAAAUGCGUAGAUAUAUGGAAGAA